UAGGGAAUCUUCGGCAAUGGACGGAAGUCUGACCGAGCAACGCCGCGUGAGUGAAGAAGGUUUUCGGAUCGUAAAGCCCUGUUGUAAGAGAAGAACGAGUGUGAGAGUGGAAAGUUCACACUGUGACGGUAUCUUACCAGAAAGGGACGGCUAACUACGUGCCAGCAGCCGCGGUAAUACGUAGGUCCCGAGCGUUGUCCGGAUUUAUUGGGCGUAAAGCGAGCGCAGGCGGUUAGAUAAGUCUGAAGUUAAAGGCUGUGGCUUAACCAUAGUACGCUUUGGAAACUGUUUAACUUGAGUGCAAGAGGGGAGAGUGGAAUUCCAUGUGUAGCGGUGAAAUGCGUAGAUAUAUGGAGGAACACCGGUGGCGAAAGCGGCUCUCUGGCUUGUAACUGACGCUGAGGCUCGAAAGCGUGGGGAGCAAACAGGAUUAGAUACCCUGGUAGUCCACGCCGUAACGAUGAGUGCUAGGUGUUAGACCCUUUCCGGGGUUUAGUGCCGCAGCUAACGCAUUAAGCACUCCGCCUGGGGAGUACGACCGCAAGGUUG
rnacentral:rRNA from 1 species